CAGCCGUAAACUAUGCGCGUUAGGUGUAUCGGUGACCACGAGUUACCGAGGUGCCGAAGGGAAACCGUGAAACGUGCCGCCUGGGAAGUACGGUCGCAAGGCUGAAACUUAAAGGAAUUGGCGGGGGAGCACCACAACAGGUGGAGCCUGCGGUUUAAUUGGAUUCAACGCCGGACAUCUCACCGGAUAAGACAGCUGAAUGAUUGCCGGGCUGAAGACUCUGCAUGACUAGCUGAGAGGAGGUGCAUGGCGUAGACGUCU
rnacentral:rRNA from 1 species